CGGUCCGCACUAGUGUGAUGGAUUCCUACCUUCUGAAUAACCAGCAUGUCAUUAAUUUGGUGCGUUGGGGAAGCAGGACUGUUACCUUGAAAAAAUUAGAGUGCUUAAAGCAGGCUAGUGCCUGAAUACAUUAUCAUGGAAUAAUGAAAUAGGACGGCAUGGUUCUAUUUUGUUGGUUUCUAGGAUCACCGUAAUGAUUAAUAGGGAUAGUCGGGGGCAUUAGUAUUCAAUUGUCAGAGGUGAAAUUCUUGGAUUUAUUGAAGACUAACUUCUGCGAAAGCAUUUGCCAAGGAUGUUUUCAUUAAUCAAGAACGAAAGUUAGGGGAUCGAAGACGAUCAGAUACCGUCGUAAUCUUAACCAUAAACUAUGCCGACUAGGGAUCGGACGAUGUUAAUUUUUUAAUGACUCGUUCGGCGCCUUACG
rnacentral:rRNA from 1 species